CCCAUAAUCCUUUGCGAGCGCAUGACUUCCGGUAAAUGUCUACCCUAGAUAUCGAUAAUGUAUGUGUGUGAUGUUGACCAGUGAAAAGGAGAGCAUAAGUGGCAAAAUAGAUUGAUAGAGAUGUUCAUUGUGGCUGUUUGAGUCUGCCAAGUUGAUGCUGAACAGGAGUAGGCAGUUAAUACCAUUGAUCUGAUAGCAGCUAUAUCAGUGGUUUUACAAGAUAUUUUUGUGCAAAACACAAUAGACUGAAUUCGGUUCAAGAGCGGAGAUAAAAUAAAUGAAGUGUGUCAAUAUGAAUGAAAACUUUCCUUGACUGCAAGGACUAAAGAAAAAGAUAACAGCCGAACAAGCUAGAGAUUUUUCAAAAAGAAGCAAGAUGGGGGUUUUUAACCCUUGGCAAAUGAAGCUUUAAAGGGAUUAUUUCAUACCAAGGACAAUUUUUAUUGUUAUUUAAUUAUAUAAUGGUAUUAUUAAAUUGUAAAAAUUGC